GACGAACGCUGGCGGCGUGCUUAACACAUGCAAGUCGAGCGGUAAGGCCCUUUCGGGGGUACACGAGCGGCGAACGGGUGAGUAACACGUGGGUGACCUGCCCUCAGCUCUGGGAUAAGCCUGGGAAACCGGGUCUAAUACUGGAUAUGACUCCAUGACGCAUGUUGUGGGGUGGAAAGCCUUGUGCGGCUGAGGAUGGGCCCGCGGCCUAUCAGCUUGUUGGUGGGGNGAUGGCCUACCAAGGCGACGACGGGUAGCCGGCCUGAGAGGGCGACCGGCCACACUGGGACUGAGACACGGCCCAGACUCCUACGGGAGGCAGCAGUGGGGAAUCUUGCGCAAUGGGCGAAAGCCUGACGCAGCGACGCCGCGUGAGGGAUGACGGCCUC
rnacentral:rRNA from 1 species